rnacentral:rRNA from 1 species
UACGUAGGGCGCAAGCGUUGUCCGGAAUUAUUGGGCGUAAAGAGCUCGUAGGCGGUUUGUCACGUCGGAUGUGAAAGCCCGGGGCUUAACCCCGGGUCUGCAUUCGAUACGGGCAGACUAGAGUGUGGUAGGGGAGAUCGGAAUUCCUGGUGUAGCGGUGAAAUGCGCAGAUAUCAGGAGGAACACCGGUGGCGAAGGCAGGUCUCUGGGCCACUACUGACGCUGAGAAGCGAAAGCAUGGGGAGCGAACAGG